GUUCAGCAUAAAAGCAUGAGCAUGUUUGUGUGAGGCUUGCGUGGCAUAAAGAUGCCGGUUUUGUUCCUCCGUGGAUGCGUCGGCAAGAACACAGCAAAAGUGUUGCCAAUCAACCUAUCCCCAGGUGCAUGUCUUUGGAGGUGGGAGGAAGCUGGAGUACCCGGAGGGAACCCACGCAUUCACGGGGAGAACAUGCAAACUCCACACAGAAAGAUCCCGAGCCUGGAUUUGAACCCAGGACUGCAGGACUUUAGUAUUGUGAGGCAGACGCACUAACCCCUCUGCCACCGUGAAGCCCUUUACUUUUGUAAUAAAUAUUUUAUUUUUUGACUCAA